UAGUGUUAUGUGUGGUAGUGUUAUGUGUGGUAGUAUUUUUAUAGUAAAAAUACUACCACACAUAACACUAAUACACACAACACUA
rnacentral:pre_miRNA from 1 species